rnacentral:rRNA from 1 species
UACGUAGGGUGCGAGCGUUGUCCGGAAUUAUUGGGCGUAAAGAGCUUGUAGGCGGUCUGUCGCGUCUGCUGUGAAAAUCCGGGGCUCAACCCCGGACUUGCAGUGGGUACGGGCAGACUAGAGUGUGGUAGGGGAGACUGGAAUUCCUGGUGUAGCGGUGAAAUGCGCAGAUAUCAGGAGGAACACCAAUGGCGAAGGCAGCUCACUGGGACGAUACUGACGCUGAGACGCGAAAGCGUGGGGAGCAAACAGG